rnacentral:lncRNA from 1 species
GCUGCUCUGGUUCCUCGACCAAGAGGAUAAUCUCGUAGGCUUCCAGGUCGCCAGAAACGGGCGAGCGCCCAGGGCGCACGACGCGAGCCGCUUGGUGCGUGAUUGUGGCGCUCCCGAUCGCGCCAUCAGACGCAGACGCCGAGCCCUGCCGGAUGAAGGGAUGGACGACUGCACCCGCGCCCUCUUGUUGGCCAGUCGGCACCGCAGAAAAGAGACCGACAGAGGCCGAAUCGAGCGGACCAUAGGCAUGGGCGGCUUCGAUGACGACAGCGCGUGGUCUCACGGGCACGGCUCGGGCGCGCGCCAGACGGUCAAUCGUCACGUGGAUGCCGUCCCCAUGCGACGUCAUCCCCUCAAAGCCGGAAAACACCAGGCCGUCCCACUCGACGCGCUUUUCGCCGCCCACAAACUCGAUGCUGUCAAAGGCCAGAUGGAUCGUCCUCCAUCGACGCCCACUGUCGUCGGUGACGGCCUCGCCCACGCGAGAUGGCGGCUGGUAAAAAUGCUCUGGCACUAGGUCGCCGUGCUGGGCGAGGAUGGCCUCCCGAUCGGCCUCGCCUAGCAAUCCCAAGACGCGCCCCAACAGGCGGGUCUUGACGAUCGGUUCGAGGCCCGACGCGAGCAUGUGCCACACAAAAGAGGUUAGUUGGGCGCGUGCGUCGCUGGUGCCGCCGUCGCGCGUCUGCGCGGCGAUGGCCACGAGUAGGGCAUGCAGCACAAAGCGUACGAGGCGGCGUAUGUGGUGGCGAGGUGCUUCGACAAACAAAGCGGCGUGGAUCACGUCGACUGGGUCGCCGCACUCGACCACGCGCUCCACCCUGUCGUCGUCAUAGAGACAUUCGACGACAAAGGCCAGCGCCGCGGGAUCAAACGACAUCUCCAGCAGGUAGGCUGAGCGGCAGAUGCGAGAGCCAUCAGCGUCGCGUCGGUCCACGCGGUCCGGCUCGACGUGUCGAAACAGGGCACCAAAAUAGGCGGCCCUGGCGAGGAUGGCGCGGUGGGCUGCUAUCCUCGUGGGCGCGGCGCUCUCGUCGGUGCCGCAUAGGCGCACCUCCAAGAGACAGUCGCAGUGUUGGUGGCGCAUCGUGGCGAGGACGCGCUCGGCCCAUUGUGUCAUUUCUGUGCUGUGCAAUCCCCCUCGACCCUGCGUCGCCUCUCUAGCGCGUGUCUGCAGGUGCCGAGAACAAAUAAGGGUCGCAGUGCCUUUGGG